rnacentral:rRNA from 1 species
UACGGAGGGUGCAAGCGUUAUCCGGAAUCACUGGGUUUAAAGGGUGCGUAGGCGGCUAUGUAAGUCAGUUGUGAAAUACCUCGGCUUAACCGAAGGAAGUGCGAUUGAUACUGCGUAGCUUGAAUCAGGUUGAGGUAGGCGGAAUGUGGCAUGUAGCGGUGAAAUGCUUAGAUAUGCCAUAGAACACCGAUUGCGAAGGCAGCUUACUACACAGUUAUUGACACUGAGGCACGAAAGCGUGGGGAUCAAACAGG